GACACCCAAAGGAAUGCGAGGGCAAGAGUGGGGAGUCCAAUUAAACAGGCAGAGCAGGUUUCCAGAGCGUUUGGGAUGGCAGUGAAUGAAUGGUCCUGGGAGGUUAUCAGGUGAGGAAUUCCAGCUGCUUUCCAGAGGAUUCGAUGUGAAGAUUAGAUAAAGAAGGAGAAAAGCAGACCCCUACAUCUGUGAACUGACCUCAGAAUGAAAGCAGGGCUUUGGUGGUGUUAGUUGCUGGCCUAGCAUUUGCAGCAUUUGCCCAUCAGAAGAGAAAGAAAGACAACUCUCAGAAAACCCAGAGAUGAUCUCCUGAGAACCCAGGAAAUGUGAGGUGGAAAACCCAAAAGCCCAAGUGCUCUUAUUUUAUGGAGGACAGAAUUGAGACCCAGAGAGCUUAAGGCAUUCACCUGAGAUCACACAGCUAGUGAACAGCAGGGCUUGGAGAGAAUGCCAAGGUUCUGAAAUCCAACCCAAUACCUUUUCCGCGUCCUAUCAUGCCUAAGAAAGGGAAGGAGGGAAGAGAAUCAGCACUUAUUGAGCAUCUACUGUUCACUGGAUAUUCUUCAUGAAUUGUUUCCCUUACAGCAAUAAUAGAAGGGGAAGUAGGAUAUGCAGGAAGGAAGAAAGGGAGAUUCUUUGAGAAACUUGUAAGUUCUAAGAAGAGGACGCUCAAAGAGGAACAGCAAGGACCACAGCCACACAGUCACAAGGUGAGGAUUUGAACCCAGGUCACUGAGACUCUGGAAUCUGGGGAUCUCUGCCUCCCUCCCAGGCUCGCCAGUGGAUCAAGCAUAUCACUGACCUGCCGGGAAGCCUGUCAUUCAACCCUUAGCAAUAAAACAGCUUUGCACAAAUGAAGACAAAAUAAAUCAGAAGCCGUAUGCUUUUAAACUCACUAAAUGAAAGCCCAGCAUGCAUGCUACCUCCUUCCAAAUUAAUCACUG